rnacentral:lncRNA from 1 species
UUUGACAGUUCAUCAAAACAAUUGUCCAAGAUUGCUAGAUCGAGCGCGCGGCGCGCAUAAUCAUCAGUCCAAGAGCGGGUGGGUUGUCUCCUCUUCUUAAUGUCUCCUACUUCCUUGCCUCCAACUCCUUGUUCUCUUCCCUUAUUUUCCUCCAUACCUUCGCUGCCUCUGUCAUCAUGUUGUUCCAUCCUUCAGGGUUGUUCGGUAGGUGUCCGGGCCUCCUAAAGAAUCCUUCCGACAAGAAUGCUACUUGAACAUUGUAAGACAUGGAACCAUCUAUUUCUUGUGAACACUGAUCAUAAGUGGCAAAAGCC